UCUGAGUCAUUGCUCCACAUCCUGUCCCGCUCCUGCACUUCCUCAUUCAAGGCAGAAGUGACUCUCAGCAGCACGUUUGGAUCUCAGCACACGCAGAAAAGACACCGAGAGAUUCCAGAGCCUUCCCUCCCACUCCAGACAAGAAACCUAUAAGAGCCAACUGUCUCCUUUGGAAGCUGAGCAUUUCUAAACAUCCACAGAAGGUGGCAGUCCAGGUGACAGGACGCUGCAUCCAGUGUCAGUGACUGAGCUUUGUUUCCACAGACACAACUAGCAGCUGUGAAGCUGGUCUGGUGAAGGUCCCAACAGGGACAGAUUCCCGAGGGCUGGGAAGGCACAAAAAUGAAAUGG
rnacentral:lncRNA from 1 species